ACGGGUGAGUAACGCGUGGGAAUCUACCCAUCUCUACGGAAUAACGCAUGGAAACGUGUGCUAAUACCGUAUACGUCCUUCGGGAGAAAGAUUUAUCGGAGAUGGAUGAGCCCGCGUUGGAUUAGCUAGUUGGUGGGGUAAAGGCCUACCAAGGCGACGAUCCAUAGCUGGUCUGAGAGGAUGAUCAGCCACACUGGGACUGAGACACGGCCCAGACUCCUACGGGAGGCAGCAGUGGGGAAUAUCGGACAAUGGGCGCAAGCCUGAUCCAGCCAUGCCGCGUGAGUGAUGAAGGCCCUAGGGUUGUAAAGCUCUUUCACCGGUGAAGAUAAUGACGGUAACCGGAGAAGAAGCCCCGGCUAACUUCGUGCCAGCAGCCGCGGUAAUACGAAGGGGGCUAGCGUUGUUCGGAUUUACUGGGCGUAAAGCGCACGUAGGCGGACUAUUAAGUCAGGGGUGGAAUCCCGGGGCUCAACCCCGGAACUGCCUUUGAUACUGGUAGUCUUGAGUUCGAGAGAGGUGAGUGGAAUUCCGAGUGUAGAGGUGAAAUUCGUAGA
rnacentral:rRNA from 1 species